GGGGGAGAGACAGGCCCAUGCACCCGGACCCGGGCCCGGCCCGGAACAACCAGGUGGGUGCAGCACACCGGCUGCCUUGGGGCGGUCGUGGUGGGCAACGCGAGGCGGCUGAAACUGACACACACAGACACACUCUCUCCCUCUUCCUCCCCUCGCUCUCUUGCAGUCUUGCUCACACAGCACAUAGCACACACACGACACGCUGCGAGAGGGGUAAAGAACUUAGAAGGGCAGGCAGGAGAAGCGACACAGGAAACUGACGUCGCCUUCGGCGGCCUGCUACUUAAAUAAAUCCCCUCGCCUCGCCUCCGGCUGCCUCUUCCCUUUUUCCUUCCGCGCAAAUCACUCAGGUGCCAGUUGCGCGGCGGAGAUCGCGACGAAUUCCGGACGGCAGGGAGGUGGUCGGGGGAACUGGGAAGUGCAUGUGAGAUCCGAUGGCGGCGGCUGCCUGCGCCGGUGCGGAAGCAGGACGCGGAUGCGGAGGGAAGGACGCGCUGUUCGUCGAGCUGUGGAAGGCCUGCGCGGGGCCGCUGUCCUGCGUGCCGCCGCUUGGGGAGAAGGUCUACUACCUCCCGCAGGGCCACAUCGAGCAGGUGGAGGCAUCGACGAACCAGCUUGCCGAGCAGCAGGGCACGCCCCUCUACAACCUGCCAUGGAAGAUUCCCUGCAAGCUCAUGAACAUCGAACUGAAGGUUGAGCCGGAUACUGAUGAGGUGUACGCCCAGCUCACCCUGCUCCCUGAUAAGAAGCAAGAUGAGAAUACAUCUACAACAGUGGAGGAAGAGGAGGUGGUGGUGCCUCCUGCGCUACCAGCCACAAAUGAGGGUCCUCACAUCCAUUCCUUCUGCAAGACAUUGACUGCCUCAGACACAAGCACACAUGGUGGUUUCUCAGUGUUGCGCCGGCAUGCAGAUGAGUGCCUCCCACCAUUGGAUAUGAGUCAACAUCCCCCAAAUCAAGAAUUGGUGGCCAAGGACCUGCAUGGGGCCGAGUGGCGGUUCCGUCACAUCUUUCGAGGUCAGCCACGGAGACAUCUCCUGCAAAGUGGUUGGAGUGUUUUUGUGAGCGCCAAGCGUCUUGUCGCGGGGGAUGCCUUCAUAUUUCUCAGAGGUGAGAAUGGGGAGCUCCGUGUUGGAGUUCGGCGUGCACUGAGGCACCAAACCACUAUCCCAUCUUCAGUCAUAUCAAGCCACAAUAUGCAUCUUGGUGUUCUUGCAACAGCAUGGCAUGCAGUGAACACUGAUAGUAUGUUCACUGUCUACUACAAGCCAAGGACUAGUCCAGCUGAAUUUGUGGUUUCGCGAGAUAGGUACUAUGAAUCACUGAAACGAAAUUAUUCAAUAGGGAUGAGAUUUAAGAUGAGAUUUGAAGGUGAAGAGGCAGCAGAGCAAAGAUUCACUGGCACAAUAGUUGGAAUAGGUGCUUCUGAUCCAUCUGGUUGGGCUGACUCAAAAUGGCGUUCCCUUAAGGUGAGAUGGGAUGAACCUUCUUCUAUUUCUCGUCCUGAAAGAGUUUCUCCUUGGCAAAUAGAACCUUCUGUUAGCCCAUGUCAUGUGAACCCUCUUCCAGUUAGAUUCAAGAGGUCUCGAUCAAGCGUUAAUGCUUUGCCAUCUGACGUGUCUACUGUAACCAGAGAAGUCACUUCUAAAGUCAUGGCAGACUCGCAGCAAAAUAGUCUCACAAGAGCCUUGCACAAUCAAGGAAGGACACAAUUGACAGUUCGAUACCAUGAUAACAGUGAUGUGAAGACUACUCAGGAUCUUACCGUGUGGUCUUCAGGAACUGAGCAACAGAGAAACAAUAUUGCUGCCCAGACAAAGCUAUGUCUGGAGGGUUGGACGCCAACUAGAAGUCCUGAAGGCUACAAUCAGAUAUUCUCGGCAUUUAAACCACUGAAAGAUAUACAUAACCCACUUGGUCCUUUUCCUAGUCAAAUAUCUGGGACUCACUCAAAUAGCUGGGACACAGCUGAUGCUCGUUAUCCAGUCCAACAAGCUAAUUACAGCAUGUUACCUGGCACAUGGUCUUUGAGGCCUCAUAACAGUGGUUUUAGGAUGAAUCAACAAAAUUAUCUAGUGAUGCCUGAAGGUGCAAAUUUUACGGGGAAAUCAGCUUUCACUUCACUUCAGGACCAUGGCACUGAUAAAUGCUCCACAGGCUGCUUUGGUCAUAUUGAGUCAAGUUCCCACACAGACCAUGCAUCCUCAAGUUUGAUCAGGCCCCAGCCUUUGGUCCUUGGAAAUGGUGUUCAGAAAAGCAAAGGCACUUCAUUUAAAUUAUUUGGGAUUCCCCUUGGCAGCCCAGAAAAAUCUGAACCUCUGGUAUCCCCACCAAGUGUCGCAUAUGACGGGAAACUUCAAACUUCUCCAUCAGAAAAAGGGAAUCAGCUAGACGUAGUUGAAGUGGAUAAUUGUUCUCAUCCUUCUAAGACUGUGAAGCCACUUGAUGGUCCUCAGUCAGAUUCUAUUACAGAGAAUAAUCAGCCUUCUCCAGAAGCUACCCUUAAUAUCCAGAACAAAGUGCAAAGUAGUUCCACCAGAAGCUGCAAGAAGGUUCAUCAUAUGUUGCACCUUUUUCCUUGCUAGUAGUCAUUCCUUGAUACAUAAAUGCUUACUAGGCCCAAACCUUCAAUUGAAUACUUCUCAAAGUAUGCUCCAAAGAAGUUUAUGUACUCUUGAUCCCUUUUGGCAACUUGUUUUAUGUAUCUAGAAGCACCGGUCCAAUAAAACCUGCUAGUUGUGUAACCUACUAACCUUUCAUGCUAAUAAAUUACUUGAGUUUUUCUUGCCCCUUCAAGUGUCGUAUUUGGAUCUGUUUGGCAUCAUCAAAAGAGCUAUUUAUCCUUAAGUUUGGCUGUCAAGAAAGAAAAAAAAAGCUGUGGGAAUCCUGUGAUGAGACUUUUUAAUCUUUAAGCAGUAUGCCUUUUGGAUAUAUAGUCUAGCAUUAUGCAAAUGGUUAUUAAAUACAAUGUGGAUGACAAAUGUCACGUUGUCAUUAGAUUGGUGACAUGGGCUUUGAGAAAUGUUAGCUUUCUAAUGAUAACGGUCAAAUGUUCUAUCUAAUUGCAUCCAUUUUUCUCCGGUUGCUUUUUAUUUUAUUUUAUUUAUUUGAGGGGAAGGAUAGGCCUGACACAAUAUACCGAGUAAAGGCCUUGGGUUCGACGCAGCUUUUCUGCAAAAAUGUAGGGAUAUGGCGUGCCUCGGUUAUUACUUCAUCGGACUCCACUCAAGUGUGAGCCGCCUGUAAUUGGUUCAUAAGCAAGGUAGUGCCCUCGGCAGGUCGAUUGAUCUAACAAAGUUCGCUUGCUAUGAUGAGCUGAUUGCUGAACUGGAUCAGAUGUUUGACUUCGAUGGUGAGCUGAAGAGUCCAUGCAAAAGUUGGUUAGUUGUCUACACUGACAAUGAAGGCGAUAUAAUGCUGGUUGGUGAUGACCCCUGGAAUGAAUUCUGCGAUAUGGUCCACAAGAUCUUCAUCUACACGAGAGAGGAAGUCGAAAGGAUGAACCCAGGUGCCCUGAACUCAAGGUCUGAAGAUAGUCUAUCUGACUCGCUGGGAAGAGGGGUAGCUUCCAGAGAUCCCCGAGGAGGCGGGUCUACUUCGGCUCUCGAUUCCGAGAACUGCUAGUUUGUUCAGUCAGUGAGGCCUUUGGAAGUGAAGCAGACAAAAGGCGUGAAUCUUGCGGUGUAGAGUGUAGUUGGUACAUUGUGUGUAUGCCUCCGGGUAAGCCCUGCGGUACCCAGUUUGUGUCCUGGCGCCAGUUUACCAUUUAAGCUAAGUUUUUGGGUGUGCCCUGUGCUGGGGUCUGGGCUCUAGUUAUUGUAGCAGAGCAGGCAAUGCAUGCAAGAAACUGAUGAUGCGCCUGUUUGGCCCUCUUUCCCUUCCCAAGCCAUGUAAAUAGCCUUGGCUCUGAAGCGUAGUAUUGUAUUGUCGACAGCCGUACUUGAGAUAGUACUCCAAGAGGCGCGCUUGCUCCUGUCAGUUGGGUGUGCGUAUGUAGAUGUGCGUGUGAAGCCAUGCAAGCAAGGGUUUGUGGGGUUGAUGGCUUUUCAUGGUAGCGGAUCUGCUUUCAUGGUA